CGAACGCUGGCGGCAUGCCUAACACAUGCAAGUCGACCGAGACCUUCGGGUCUAGUGGCGCACGGGUGCGUAACGCGUGGGAACCUGCCCUUUGGUUCGGAAUAACUCCCCGAAAGGGGUGCUAAUACCGGAUAAUGUCUUCGGACCAAAGAUUUAUCGCCUUUGGAUGGGCCCGCGUUGGAUUAGCUAGUUGGUAGGGUAAAAGCCUACCAAGGCGACGAUCCAUAGCUGGUCUGAGAGGAUGAUCAGCCACACUGGGACUGAGACACGGCCCAGACUCCUACGGGAGGCAGCAGUGGGGAAUAUUGGACAAUGGGCGAAAGCCUGAUCCAGCAAUGCCGCGUGAGUGAUGAAGGCCUUAGGGUUGUAAAGCUCUUUUACCCGGGAUGAUAAUGACAGUACCGGGAGAAUAAGCUCCGGCUAACUCCGUG
rnacentral:rRNA from 1 species